AGCCGGGGCUCCCUUCUCUCCGCCGCCCCCUCCCCGCCGGAGCUGCUGCCGCCGCCGCCGCCGCCGCUGCGGAAUGAAGGGGGGGUUGCCCAUUCCGUCCCGUCGGCCUCGUUCCGCUGCCGGGCUGUCCCGGUGCUCGGGGUAGGACAGGCCCUGUGUCCCGGAGCAGGUCAUCGACCUGGUGCCACCCUCCAGUUGCGGGGAGAUGCGCUGGGGAGCGAGGCGCUGCCGUGCCCAGCGCUCGGGCAGCACCCUGGCUAUACCCUUGUUGUACUCUCUAAGAGCCAGCCGCAGCAAGAGGUGCCGAGUUCCCCUGGAGCCAUCGACUUGUCCUCGUCUUCAGGGGCAGAUGUGACAAGAAAGCUGCUGGACUCCUUACCCAUGCAGAGGUCUCAAGGUGCGAGUGCCCAAACCCCUGCAGCUAACAUCUCGACGGGAUGGAAAGGAAGUUUGGCAUGUUUGAAGCUAUUGCUUUUCCAGACUGUUUUGAAACCCGAGCAAACUGUGGAGUGUUCCUGGUUUUGUGUUUUCGUUUGGGGAUUUUUUGUUUAGGGUAUUUUAUUCUUUUUUUUUUCAUUUAGCUUACAUCAGCCUCACGUUUGCUGUCGUGUGCUAAGCAGCUACAAGUGCAUCAGUUUUUUAAUUAGAGGUUAGUCAAUAACUCCAUAUGCUGGGAAUUUAAGCAGGAAACAUUCAUGUGUCCUGCUCAAGGUAAGGUUGUCUUAGCCAAAAAUGCAGGAUUUUGGACUGAAGUUGCCAAGCCUGGGAGAUCCUAGUGCCUGAAUGGAUUUGUAAACUCCCAGCAAUGCCUAGAAGUUUGUAUGAAUCCUUUAAUGAUUGCAAUAAAUUAUUUCACAUCUUUAAA